UGUAUGCCGGUGUCACUCUUAGCUGUGUUGGCUUGAUUUUUCAACAGCUGGUGCCAGCUUUUUCACCAAAACCACCUGAGCAACGCUGUGGUUUUUGUACUGCGGGGACUGAGUCAGCUACACAUUUCCUGGUUCUACUUGGAGUUUGGAUUUCUCUGAAAGGCAUUCAGACAUAAAUUCCGCUUGCCUUUUCCAUCAUCUGAUUUUCUAGCUGAUAUCAUUGGACUGCAGAAGAAACGAACAACUGGGGAUCUGUCCAAGAAAAUCACAGGUUUUCCUGAGUGUGCAAACUUUGUACCUACCAAAUGUAAUGGUUCUGUAACAGACAAAAGUUGGUCCUCUCUUUGGACUUGACUGUGAAAUGGCUGCACUCCCACCAACAGUGCAGAGGGCUCCCUUUCACCGCCUCCUCACCGGCACUGGCUUGUGGAUUUGUUGAUGGUCACCACUCUGACCAUUGUGAGGGGAUAUCUCAUCAUGGUCUCAAUUUGCAUCUCUCUGAUUAAUGACGAAGCGCAGCGCACCUCUAGACCAGGCUGCCCAACCCGAAUCCUGCUUUCCUAGAUUCUGCUGUAUAACCUCAUCUCAGUGCUGGGGAUAAUGACCCAGAUCUCACAGGACCGCUGUGAAGGUGAGAGCAUGCACUCACAACACGUGUUGUAUAAAGUAUGGAGGUUAGAGAAGAGUGUGUUUAUGUAGAAGGAAAUAUGCAAGAACAUGCAUAGGCUUGGAACAAAAACUGGGCAGACUAUAAGCCAAGAUUAUCACAGUAUUUAUCUCUGGUUAUGGGAUCGGCAGAUUAAGUUUUACCCAAUGUUUUUCUGUGCGUAGCAUCAGUAUAGUGCUUUUAUAAUUAGAAAAAAAACUCUACUCAAAAUUAACUGUCAAGUUUGGGCAUUUGAGGCAGUGUUUAACCCUUUACAUGGAACUUCUCAGGGACCUGGCCCUGUGGAAGUUGGGAGCCAGGAGCCAAACUGAAGGGCUGGAUUUGGGUUGAGACACUGCAACUUGGAGCUCCUUGGAGAGGCAGGUUCCCGGGCACAGUGCCCGCUGCAGCCCUGAGAGCACUGAUGCCAGCAGCUCUGCUGGGCUCCUGCCCGCUGGCCUCCAAAGCAAUGGGAGCUGGGCUGCCGCGUCCCUCUGGAGAAGCUAGACCUGGGGACGCGAGUGUCUGCCUUUGGGUGUGGACAGGCCUGGCUGGUGCUUCAGCUACACUCCUGAGAGAGGCACUUAACCUCGUUUGAGUCCAUUUCCUCAGCUGUAUAAAAUGAGAAUGUCAUACUUUCAAGAAUUAUUGUAAAAAUUUAAAGCUCGUUUGUGGAAAUUGACAGAAUAGUGUGCUAUAGGAAUUAUUUUCCCUCUCUGAGCCUCCGUUUCCUCACGUUUACAAAGGGACAUUAAUACCUACUUCACAAAUGAUGGGAAGCCCGCCUUGUCAGUAAGGCACACUAUACUGGAUCCUCUUCCACGUAUGAGAGCACAGCACGUUAGAGCUCCCUCUGCUCCCAGGACUAGCCUGGCAGUAGCAGGCAGUUUCCUUCUGGAUUGGGGAUCGGAGGUCCCUCAUGGGCCCCGGCUCCAGAACUCUGCAGAAAUGGGCAGGACCACAGACCUCUGGGGUCCUAGUUUGUACACACUCUCUCACGGACACUCCCACCUUUUGGAAGCCAAGGCUGCCUCUUGCAAAACACACAUUCCACACCUAAGGGCAUCUGUGCAUUUCCUCUCCCACACCCUCUGGACGGCCAUGCCCAGCUGCCAAGGCGGCUGC